AACGAACGCUGGCGGCAGGCCUAACACAUGCAAGUCGAGCGAAGCCUUCGGGCUUAGCGGCGGACGGGUGAGUAACGCGUGGGAACGUGCCCUUUGCUACGGAAUAGCCCCGGGAAACUGGGAGUAAUACCGUAUGUGCCCUUCGGGGGAAAGAUUUAUCGGCAAAGGAUCGGCCCGCGUUGGAUUAGGUAGUUGGUGGGGUAAUGGCCUACCAAGCCGACGAUCCAUAGCUGGUUUGAGAGGAUGAUCAGCCACACUGGGACUGAGACACGGCCCAGACUCCUACGGGAGGCAGCAGUGGGGAAUCUUAGACAAUGGGGGAAACCCUGAUCUAGCCAUGCCGCGUGAUCGAUGAAGGCCUUAGGGUUGUAAAGAUCUUUCAGUGGGGAAGAUAAUGACUGUACCCACAGAAGAAGCCCCGGCUAACUCCGUGCCAGCAGCCGCAGUAAUAC
rnacentral:rRNA from 1 species